CCUACGGGWGGCWGCAGUAGGGAAUCUUCCGCAAUGGGCGAAAGCCUGACGGAGCAAUGCCGCGUGAGUGAUGAAGGUUUUCGGAUCGUAAAGCUCUGUUGCCAGGGAAGAACGCUUGGGAGAGUAACUGCUCUCAAGGUGACGGUACCUGAGAAGAAAGCCCCGGCUAACUACGUGCCAGCAGCCGCGGUAAUACGUAGGGGGCAAGCGUUGUCCGGAAUUAUUGGGCGUAAAGCGCGCGCAGGCGGUCAUUUAAGUCUGGUGUUUAAUCCCGGGGCUCAACCCCGGAUCGCACUGGAAACUGGGUGACUUGAGUGCAGAAGAGGAGAGUGGAAUUCCACGUGUAGCGGUGAAAUGCGUAGAUAUGUGGAGGAACACCAGUGGCGAAGGCGACUCUCUGGGCUGUAACUGACGCUGAGGCGCGAAAGCGUGGGGAGCAAACAGGAUUAGAU
rnacentral:rRNA from 1 species